rnacentral:rRNA from 1 species
GGCUCUUUGAAAAAUUUCUAUAAAGAGUCUGACCUGCCCAGUGAUAUAACAAAUUUAACGGCCGCGGUACUCUGACCGUGCAAAGGUAGCAUAAUCAUUUGCCUUAUAAUUAAAGGCUUGUAUGAAAGGUUUGACGAGAAUUUAACUGGCUCCUAUUAAUUAAAAUGAAAUUGACUUCUAAGUGCAAAGGCUUGGAUAGCAUUGAAAGACAAGAAGACCCUAUUGAGCUUUACAAAUUUUUAAUGGUCUAAUACUAUAUAUUUAAAUUUUAAGCUGUUAACUUUUUUUAGUUGGGGCGACUCUGGAACAAUUAAAACUUCUAGAAUUUAUUUCAUGUAUUAUUUUUCUAUAUAUGAUCCAAAAUAUUUUGAUUAACAGAAUAAGUUACCAUAGGGAUAACAGCAUAAUCUUUUUUAAGAGUUCUAAUCGAAAAAAUGGUUUGUGACCUCGAUGUUGGACUAGAAUAUCCUAAGGGUGCAGAAGCUCUUAAAGGUUGGUCUGUUCGACCAUUAAAAUUCU